rnacentral:rRNA from 1 species
UACGGAGGGUGCAAGCGUUAAUCGGAAUUACUGGGCGUAAAGCGUGCGCAGGCGGUUUUGUAAGCCAGAUGUGAAAUCCCCGGGCUUAACCUGGGAAUGGCAUUUGGGACUGCAAGGCUGGAGUUUGGCAGAGGAGACUGGAAUUCCCGGUGUAGCAGUGAAAUGCGUAGAUAUCGGGAGGAAUACCGAUGGCGAAGGCAGGUCUCUGGGCUAUAACUGACGCUCAUGCACGAAAGCGUGGGGAGCAAACAGG